AUUAGGUUUCCCCUAAAACAGAUUCACAAGAAGGAGCGUGAACACUCAUAUUAAAAGUCUGACCUACUAACAGAACCAUCCAGUGUAAGAUAAAUGUGAUUUAUGAAGUCUUCCAAGCACAAGUCCUUCCUGCCUUUGCUUGUGGACUGGGGCCCCUACUUGUGUGUAAUCCUACACCCGCCCUGAGGCAGGAUCCACUCCUUCAUUUCUCCAGCGCCAAAUUACAGACAAUUCAGACAGAGAAGACAGGCUUGAAGGAAACUUGAGGGACAGCGGAAAGUGAUGGGAACAAACGUUAGAUUUGAGGGAUUAUGAGACGGGCAUGACAAAUUGUAUUCUUGUAGGUUAGGAAUUAUGAUUAUCCUAUAUAUGGCUAAAAUUAUCUUCUAUGUGUUCAUUUUCAAAACAAAAUAUAACCCAAUGUGAAAACGGGAAGCUGGAAAGGUUUUGCUUUCCUUUGUUCUCCUUCAUAAAUAGUAUUCUUAGAUGCAGGUGGGAGAUGAGUCUCCAGUCCCACCUGCCUCUCCCAGCCCCCCACCUCACUCCCGCGGUAGUGCAAGAGAAGAGAGUAUCAGUAGCGCCAGAGGCCAGGGCCCAGGGUGGGUGCCCUGGCGUCCGGUUUCAUUGACUUGCUAAUUGGAAGACUACAAAGCCUUUCGCACAGGGAAAGGUGAAGAGGGGGUGGCGAGGGGGGCACCUGCGUUGACGAAUAGACACACAAAGAAAAAGAAAGCUUCGCAAAGGCGGAGCUGAUUUUCCGAAUGGUAGCCAUCUGGAGCUAGCGGCAAGCAAGAGGACAGCAAGCGGACGGCGAGUGCGUUUCGUUGGAGGUUCGGAAAACCAGCGAAAUAAAGUGCUUUAUACAUUCAGAGAAACUUCUCUGGUAACAAACUAUGGAAAUGACCACUGAAAGUAGUCUUGAUGGCAGCUUUCUUAAAGGCACGGACUAUAUCAUGUUCAUAUUUUUAUUAAAUGUCCAGCAAUGAAAAGGUGCUUAAUAAAAAUGUGUUUGUCAAUUGUUUUGAAA